CUCAGCGCGCGCCCUCCUUCACCUUAUCCGCCGCCACGUCCUGAGCCGCCCAUCUAUGCCGCCGCCGCAGCCGCCGGGCUGGCUCCUCCUCCACCCCUGCGCCCCGUCCCAAUCUCCACAGCCUCCAGCGACCAACUCCAUCUCCUGCCUCCUGCAACUGGUCCUGCCAGUGCGCCGCGUCCGCCGCCGGUGAAUACCCUCCGCAAGGACUGCCCCUAGCCCCUCUGCUCCGGCGCUCCUCGGCCGUCCCCGGCCCUUUGCCUGGUCGCCAGGGACGUGCUGCUCCACGCCUGCUCCAGCCGGGGGCUGCCACCCGCCGCGCCGGCUCUUUGCUCCGGCCAAUCCCGGGCUGCUCGCCUGCUCUGCCGGACUCUGCCGCCCAGGACUUGCUGUCAACAAACAGCAAGCAGGCUGGGACAGGGAAAUAGAAGAGGAAGACAUAUUUCAUUGGAAGUUUCAACACCCGGUGUUUCAGUCGGACUGAAUCAACUCCACAAAUUGGAACAACCAUAGAUCGGACCACUGUCUUUGGCUUCAAACAACCCGCCUUCAAUCUCAACUCGAGUUUUCCAAAGCGAUGGACCAACUAUUACAGAAAAGGUAAGAGCUUUGGCUGCAAAACACAAUAGAUACGGGGUGCGCUAUAGUGGCUAUGUCAUCAACAGCUUCAGGUUCCACACGAUGAGUCAUGAGUCAGGGCAUGUCACACAAAAUAGUGGUGUGGUGAACAUUGCAGAAAAUGGUGUUAGAUAUUAUGGCAGAUUAAGUGACAUCUUUGAAUUUUCAUACAAUGAUUACAAGGUGGUGUUCUUUAAUUGUGAUUGGUAUGAUGUCUACCAUAAAGUUGGCAUACAAACGGAUGAGUUUGGGUUCACUCUUGUGAACAAGUCUGGGAAAAUACACACAGGAGAUGAGCUAGAGGAUGAUCCUUUUGUAUUUUCCUCCCAAGUGCAGCAGGUUUUCUAUGUUCAAGAUCCAAAAGCUGAACUAUGGAAUGUAGUAGUGGAAGUCAGGCCUCGUGAUCUUUUUGACAUGGGUGUUGAAGAAUCAUCGGAUGAAACAGAUUAGAGCAUUGUGAUUUUGGUUCAGGCUGAAGUAUGGUGGCAGCUCUUUGCUCGUGUGGUUCUUUGCAUACAACUACAAUUUUAGUUAUGGUUUCAGUAGUGGUUUACGAGCACAAAGUCAGAAUGCUUUAUUAUAGUUUAUGGUUGUAUGUUUUCGUACUAAUUCAGGGCACAGCCCAAGUAUACUUGGUUGUUAAUUGCAGGUUGAUUUUGCAGAAUUUCUGUUCUGGAAAGUGAAGUAUCACCUUUGGUUUAUUGAUUAUUCCCACAUGUUACAGUUA